CCUACGGGUGGCAGCAGUGAGGAAUAUUGGUCAAUGGGCGCGAGCCUGAACCAGCCAAGUAGCGUGAAGGAUGACUGCCCUACGGGUUGUAAACUUCUUUUAUAAAGGAAUAAAGUGAGGCACGUGUGCCUUUUUGUAUGUACUUUAUGCAUAAGGAUCGGCUAAGUCCGUGCCAGCAGCCGCGGUAAUACGGAGGUUCCGAGCGUUAUCCGGAUUUAUUGGGUUUAAAGGGAGCGUAGAUGGGUGGUUAAGUAGGUUGGGAAUGUUUGCGGCUCAACCGUAAAAUUGCAAUUGAUACUGGCAGGCUUGAGUGCAGUUGAGGUAGGAGGAAUUCGUGGUGUAGCGGUGAAAUGCUUAGAUAUCACGAAGAACUCCGAUUGCGAAGGCAGCUUACUAAACUGCCACUGACAUUGAUGCUCGAAAGUGUGGGUAUCAAACAGGAUUAGAUACCCGUGUAGUC
rnacentral:rRNA from 1 species